rnacentral:rRNA from 1 species
CCUACGGGUGGCAGCAGUGAGGAAUAUUGGUCAAUGGGCGCGAGCCUGAACCAGCCAAGUAGCUUGAAGGAUGACUGCCCUACGGGUUGUAAACUUCUUUUAUCAAGGAAUAAAACGAGGCACGUGUGCCUUUUUUCUUGUACUUUAUCAAUAAGAGUCCGCUAACUCCCCGUCAGCAGCGGCGGUAAUACGGAGGAGCCGAGGGUUAUCCGGAUUUAUUGGGUUUAAAGGGAGCGUAGAUGGGUUGUUAAGUCAGUUGUGAAAGUUUGCGGCUCAACCGUAAAAUUGCAAUUGAUACUGGCAGUCUUGAGUACAGUUGAGGUAGGCGGAAUUCGUGGUGUAGCGGUGAAAUGCUUAGAUAUCACGAAGAACCCCGAUUGCGAAGGCAGCUUACUAAACUGUGACUGACAUUGAUGCUCGAAAGUGUGGGUAUCAAACAGGAUUAGAUACCCUUGUAGUC